GUGGGAGCCCGAGUGACGUGUGCUCGGUGGUCAUGCACCAUCAUUUCCCUUCCACCUUCCUCCUCGCCGCUUCCUCUCCCUCCACCGCGCAGCUCCAGCCGCCUUGCCGCCGCCGCAUCCCCUUCCAAGUUCAGGCUGUGGGUGGAACCUGUUGCUUUAGCUCACGUUUCCCUUCCCCUCCGGGCUGCACGCUGAGGAUGACCUCAGCGAGGUGUGUGUAAGGGGAAUGGAGGGACAGCAUGAAGAAGAGUCCAAAGGACUUGCUUCUGUAUACAGUGGGCAGAAAAAAUAAAAAUAAGUGAGUUCCUAACACUUGCUACUUGAGUUGCAAACAGAGCUCAGAAGAAUGGAUGGACGAGCCUUAUAUGGCACAUCACAAUGAUGAAGUUAGAGUUUCAUCCAGAAACUGGAAGACAGGCUGUGGGUUGGCAAGCACCUGCUUUCCUCAGCUUAGUUGGAAGCUGUGGUGUGUUGUUCCACCUGCCCAGCGUCCAUUCUCCAGUGUUCCUGAGGUGACUCCCCGACUCUCCUCUCAGGACACAACAACCUUUUGGGGAAGACCUCAUCCUGAUUGCAGAGGCACCUACCACUCAGUGGAACCAUUCACCAGUGUGGGGAUGGCCUGCAGCCAGCUCCUCCCCACUCUUUUCUUGCCACCCACUUCAGCUCAGCCUGGGGACGGGGUGCUCCUCCCCUCAAAUGAGAAUUGAGUUGUUCUCCAAGUGAACUGACAAGUUUCCACAUUGCUGCUUUGUGAAUCUCUGCAUUUGCAGAGACACACUGAGGUCAGUCUGGGGGCCACUUGCUGUGGAGGUGCAGAAAGAAGAGUUGGCUAUGAUGAGAGACGAGACGACAACAGUAAGAAUUUUCUGAAGUCUUGGAAGCUGAGUUGCCUUUGUCAGGGAGGAGCCAAUGCACCUGGAAACUAUUUGUGAGGCUUUAAUGCCUAAGUAACAUUUGUACUGAAAUGCCUGAAUCUCUGCAAGAGAUUCUGAUGUUCAAUGUUACUCUUUCAACAGAAUAAAUGUAGACUUGGUCGCAGUUGUUCAUGUAA